AAUCAACGCUGGCGGCGUGCCUAACACAUGCAAGUCGAACGAGAAAGUGGAGCAAUCCAUGAGUAAAGUGGCGACCGGGUGAGUAACACGUGACUAACCUACCCUAGAGUGGGGAAUAACCUCGGGAAACCGGGGCUAAUACCGCAUAACAUCGCGAGCUGUAAACGCUUGUGAUCAAAGGAGCAAUUCGCUCAAGGAGGGGGUCGCGGCUGAUUAGUUAGUUGGUGAGGUAACGGCUCACCAAGACUUAGAUCAGUAGCCGGCCUGAGA
rnacentral:rRNA from 1 species